rnacentral:tRNA from 1 species
GGUUUGUGGCUCAGCGGUAGAGUGCUCGCCUAGCACGUGCGAGGCCCUGGGUUCAAUCCUCAGCACCA